rnacentral:tRNA from 1 species
GUCAGGAUGGCCGAGCGGUCUAAGGCGCUGCGUUCAGGUCGCAGUCCGAUCUUCCGGGCGUGGGUUCGAAUCCCACUUCUGACA